UCACAUCACACACCACCAAGGGACCUCACACACCACUCAAGAGAAGAUGUAGUGCUCCAUUUCAAAGGCGAGGCCCUGCUGAGGCUAGUGCUUAGAGUAGGAGGAGGGUGAGGAGUAGUUUUGGGAAGCACCGGGCCUGUCGGCGGUCUUCUCCGGUCUUAUACCUCUACGGAUGCUAGCUUCUUUCUGAGUAAAGUUGCUCCAAGUUCCCAGCCUUCCCCCUCAUCGAGUACGUGGUUGUUGGAGAAAAAGAAAACGAGUCCAUCGAAGAAUGGUGGACGGCAUCGAUGACGAGGUGGUGGUGGAGCUGCCCUGCGGUGGAGGCGAAGGUAACCCCGCCGCCUACGCGGCUGGGCUCAAAAGGAAGCUGGACUUGUACUGCGCCGCUGUCGCCAAAUCCAUGGAGGCCAAAUCACAAGAAUCCUCGUUGGGCUACUCCGACUCACAGGCUUCAGGCACUUCACAAUUGACUUCUCAAGCUUCUUCUGCUGUUGAACACACAGGUGAUGGAGGUGGGGCAAGCCUAGUUACAAAUAACUCAAAUGUCCUCGGUCGUGAUGACUAUCAAGGAGACCCAAUUAACAGUGGUACAUCUAAGGAACAGUCAGACGCCUGUGUCAAUCUUGAGGAGAAAGGUGACCCUGCUAAUGAGAAAAAAAUGAGGAGAAUGCUGUUAAAUCGAGAAUCAGCUAGGCGUUCAAGAAGGAGGAGGGAAAGUCACCUGUGCGAUCUCGAAUCUCAGGUUUCCAGGUUAACAUCUGAAAAUGCAUCUUUGCUAAAGCGCAUGGCUGAUAUGACUCAGAAGUACAAGGAUGCUACCCUUGACAACAGAAAUCUCAUAACUGCUGUUGAGACAAUGAGGACAAAGCUCCCACGGUUCUGGUGAUCAAAUUCCAUCAAGAAAGCGAUGAGCAGACCAAGCUGCGACUAGGAUCAUGCGUCCUCAGAGAUUGUAUUACAGAAGAAGCAUCAUCACACCACUGCUCCAUCCAUUGCAGCCUCAUCUCACCAUGGUAGCAUUGCUGCAGCCAUGCAGUUUGUCAACGUCAGGUGAACAUAGCAGAGGAAGCUGUUAGGAGGCUAUCAGGAACAACACUCCUCUUAUCCAGCACAUCUGAACUACCUCCAAGCAUGAGUUCGACUUCAUUUGCAUCUGAUAAUGUGGCUUCUCCAGCUGUCAGCAUGGAACAUAGUAUGGAACAUUUUCUUCUGUCGACACUUUACGAAGAUCAGACAGCCUGCCCUCCCAAAUGCAGAAAUUCCCUUUGACAAGUGGGGAGCUGGGCACCUUGUCGACCUCUCUGUGAUGGGUUGCAUGCUAGGAGAGCCUGAAGAAGAGGAUCCAUGAAGAAUCAGAAAUUUCUGAGAUUUUAUAUCACUACCACAGAACUCGGGAAUGCAUGGAAUCGAUGUGUUGUUGUGUAGUAGUGUAUCAACAUGUACUGUUUUUUUAAUAAUAAUAUUAUCAUUUUGGGCAUCA